rnacentral:rRNA from 1 species
CAGUAGCCGCGGUAAUACGUAGGUCCCGAGCGUUGUCCGGAUUUAUUGGGCGUAAAGCGAGCGCAGGCGGUUAGAUAAGUCUGAAGUUAAAGGCUGUGGCUUAACCAUAGUACGCUUUGGAAACUGUUUAACUUGAGUGCAAGAGGGGAGGGUGGAAUUCCAUGUGUAGCGGUGAAAUGCGUAGAUAUAUGGAGGAACACCAGUGGCGAAAGCGGCUCUCUGGCUUGUAACUGACGCUGAGGCUCGAAAGCGUGGGGAGCAAACAGGAUUAGAUACCCGCGUAGUCCCUGUCUCUUAUACA